AUUGAACGCUGGCGGCAGGCCUAACACAUGCAAGUCGAGCGAGCGGCGGACGGGCGAGUAAUGUAUGGGGACUGCCCGAUAGAGGGGGAUAACUACUGGAAACGGUGGCUAAUACCGCAUACUAUCGGAUAACCUAUAUGGGAUUAGCUAGCAGGUGGGGUAAAGGCUCACCUAGGCGACGAUCCCUAGCUGGUCUGAGAGGAUGAUCGGCGACACUGGGACUGAGAAACGGCCCAGACUCCGACGGAGGCAGAAGGGGGGAAUAUUGCACAAUGGGCGAAAGCCUGAUGCAGCCAAGCCGCGUGAAUGAAGAAGGGCUUAGGGUUGUAAAAUACUGUGAGCAGAGAGGCGUUACCCAAAGAAAAAGCACCGGCUAACUCCGUGCCAGCAGCCGCGGUAAUUC
rnacentral:rRNA from 1 species